rnacentral:rRNA from 1 species
AUUGAACGCUGGCGGCAGGCCUAACACAUGCAAGUCGAGCGAGCGGCGGACGGGUGAGUAAGGGCUGGGAAACUGCCUGAUGGAGGGGGAUAACUACUGGAAACGGUAGCUAAUACCGCAUACCAUCAGAUGUGCCCAGAGGGGAUUAGCUAGUAGGUGGGGUAACGGCUCACCUCGGCGACGAUCCAUAGCUGGUCUGAGAGGAUGACCACCCACACUGGGACUGAGACACGGCCCAGACUCCUACGGGAGGCAGCAGUGGGGAAUAUUGGACAAUGGGCGAAAGCCUGAUGCAGCCAUGCCGCGUGUGUGAAGAAGGCCUUCGGGUGGUAAAGCACUUUCAGCGGGGAGGCGGUACCCGCAGAAGAAGCACCGGCUAACUCCGUGCCAGCAGCCGCGGUAAUAC